GAUGGGGCCAUAGUUCAGAGCAUCUGCUUUGUAUGCCAAAGGUCCCAGGUUCAGUGCCUGGAGAAGCUACUGCCAAUCAGUGUAGGCAAUACUGAGCUACAUCCAAUGGUCUGACUUUCUAUGUUCCUAAAGCAGGUUCAGGUCAAAAACAGCCAUUGAAAUAGGGGAGAAAUAUUUCCACCAAAACACUUGGGGUGGCGGGAGGGCUCACAAAUAGCAAGGUACCUGCAUUUCCCCCAGCCCAAGAUGUGCAGGGAACUUAAAGUUGGUGCCACAUAUCUCAACUUCUUGGAAGUAGCCCAGUUUAGCUAGAGGUACGCCCCCUGAUUGCACCUCCCACCAAGGCCCUGGAUGCUAUUCUAGCCUAUCAUGUGCUGCCCUUGAACUGGCAAGCCUUCGUUACAUCAGCUACUUCACAGCUAUUGGUCACAAAUGCAAAGGGGGUGGGUUCUCCUGGAACAAACCAGAGUUCCAUGAAGAGCAUGGGUUCAUACAUAGCAUGCACCUAAGCUGGGACAUUACUGGGGAUGACUUCAAUUCUUGGUUAUUCUUCCAUUCUUGGUUAUCUUCUUUAUAUAUAAUUCUCGAAGGCAUACCCGUGGAUAAUCCUGUGUGUGGCAGCUGUCGUGAGAGUUUGCGAGCAGAAGCACAGUGGUGACUGGGCAGUGGCUAUUCCAUAUGCAGAUAGGGAGGAGGAGCCUUUGAGAGCAGAAGCACCAUGGUGAUAGGGCAGUGGUGAUUCCAUAUGCAGAUAGGGAGGGGGAGGAGCCUGUGGCACCAUGGUGAUUGGGCAGUAGGGAUUCAAUAUGCAGAUAGGGAGGAGUAGCCUGUGAUGGUUAAGGGCAGUUGGAAUGCAGCUGUUACUGGUUGGAAGAUGUUCUUGAUUGUAGAGGAGAGGAAAGGAUAUAAAAGGAUAGUGGGCAGGGGUCUGUGAAGAGAGGGGUUGUGAGAUAAGAAAGAGCCCCUUCAGGAGAAAGAGGCUGCCACUGUGUGAAUUAGAUGAGGAAACAAGAUGAACAAGAUCUGUUAACUCAGGAAGAGAAAGAGAGAGAAAGAGAAGAAGGGGGGAAGAGAGAAAGCAGGAAGGGCAAGCGAUGGGCCCAAGCCUGUCAGUGGCAUGAGGGGAAUGAGUGGCUAUGGCAGCAGUGGCAGCAAGGAAGGACUCAGUCAACCACCACUGCUGCUGUUUGGGGCUACCGAGGCCAUUGGCAGAGGGAGGCAGGCAAGGGACAGGCCCGGGCCUGUCAGCGGCCUGAGGGGAAUGAGCAGCCAGCAGCUGUGGUUGACCAGGCCCUUCCUUGCUGCCGUCACUGCCAUGGUGGCAGUAGCAAGGAAGGGCUCAGUCAACUGCUGCUGCUCCUGUAGGGAGGAGCAGGAGUGGGGCUCGGGUGAGGAGGUCUCUGGGGAUAGGGGGCUGCAGCUUGGCCAAUAGGCGCCAGCAACAUUGCAGCUGCGACCAAGAGGGGUGAGGGGGAUGGAAGCAACCAGAUGGAGGAGGAGCAGCAGGAGUGCAGCUCAGGUGAGGAUGGAGAGAUCUCUAAGGUGAGGGGGGCUGUGGCAGGCAGUGAGGGGAGCCAUCAAAUACUAGUACGCAGAUGCUCUACACAGGUUAAGCUAGUUCUUGGUUAAUUCUUGCGUGAAAAGGUAAUGGUUAAUUAAAAGUAAUGGUUAGAUUACUUUUAGUUAUCCAUUACAUUACUUUUAAUUAACUGUUAAAGUAAUGGUUAAUUAAAAGUAAUUAUAUUUCUUGGUCAAUUCUUGGUUAUUCUUCAGUUCUUGAUUGUUCUUCCAUUCUUCUUUGCUUGUUCUUGAAGUUCCUUGACUUCCAUUCUUGGUCACAGAUCUAGGUUUCCCUUCCUGAGGGAACAUGCGGUUCCUGCCAUUGGAUGGGUUCACAUGAUCUCAGACAACUGGGUAACCAGAACUGCAGGAUCAGCCACACAGGAGCCCAACAAAUUAGAGCCUGCAUAGUGAAUGGGAUGCUGACAAUGCCACAUGGCCCGUCAGAUGUGGCUGUGUGAUGACAUCACUGAGGGCAAGUGAUGUCAAUGAAGAGUGACAGCAAGAGAAGUCAGAGAUGUCCAGAACUGUCAAAAUCUGAGAUGUUUUCAACACUGCUGAAAAUGUUCUUGAAAAACUAGAAGCAUACAAAAGAAAAAGAAUUACAAAAAAGAACAGUUAAAAUUAAACUCAGGAAUAAAUAGAACACGUCAGAAAGAAUCUUUAUUUUAGAAUAAGAAGAAAUAAAAAGAUGACGACAUCUUGAAUUUCCAAUUUACAGAAAAUACAAGUAGCAUAGCAGAUAAUCUAAAGAAAAGAAAAGAAAAUGGAAACCUCUUCCCGAAUUAUCACCAAUCCUGCUUAAUAAAGAAAUAAUAAAAAGUAACUAUACCAUUCAGGAGUAUGAGUGACAUUAAACGUUAAAUUCCAGAUUGACCAAAAAAAAAAGAGGAAAAAUAAAUGCAUCACAAAGUCUACCCAGUAUAUUUCAGUAAUAAAAAGUUAUUUCUAGAGAUGAAAGACGGCCCCUAAAAGGCUAAUAUAAAUUCCAUAACAACAACUAAUAGGAAGAAGGGGAAGAAGAAGAAAAGAAAAGAAAAACCAAAGCAAUAAUUUGUAAAUAGAUAUGAAUUAUGAUAUGCAUUAUAAAAGUUUUACAGGUAAUACUAGAAUAUCUGAAAGCAAAUAACAAAUUAGCUGCAUGUUUAAUAUAUGACCAGAAAAUAGUAUUUCCUAAGCUACUCAACUAUAAUUAUAGAUAUGUUAUAUUAUUA